UAAGGGUUGGUAGAGGAGCAUUCUUAGGGGAGCGAAGCAUUACCGGAAGGGGAUGUGGACCGCUAAGAAGAGAGAAUGCCGGAAUGAGUAGCGAGAGCAAGGUGGGAAUCCUUGCGGCCGAAUAUCCAAGGUUUCCAGAGUAAAGCUGAUCUGCUCUGGGUAAGUCGGGGCCUAAGGAGAGGCAGAGAUGCGUAUCCGAUGGACAGCAGGUUUAAGAUUCCUGCACCCCCUGUUAUCAGAACUGCGGGGACACGGGAAGGGAAGCAGAGCCGGGAAUGGAAAGCCCGGUGCAAGCGAAGUAGUCGCAGGGUUGGAAAAUCCGCCCUGCAUGAGACGAAGGCGUGAUGCGGAGCGAAAUGAAGUAGUGAAGCUGCAGCCCCUUCCUGUCGAGAAAAGCCGCUAUCGUGUAGCAAGGGCCCGUACCGUAAACCGACACAGGUGGAUGAGGAGAGGAUCCUAAGGCCGGCGGGAGAAGUGUUGUUAAGGAACUCGGCAAAAUGACUCCGUAACUUCGGGAGAAGGAGUGCUGCGCAAGCAGCCGCAGAGAAAUGGCCCAAGCAACCGUUGAGCAAAAACACAGGUCUAUGCGAAACCGAAAGGUGAGGUAUAUGGGCUGACGCCUGCCCGGUGCUGGAAGGUUAAGGGGAGAGCUUAGCGCGAGCGAAGGUUUGAACUUAAGCCCCAGUAAACGGCGGCCGUAACAAUAACGGUCCUAAGGUAGCGAAACUCCUUGUCGGGUAAGUUCCGACCCGCACGAAAGGCGUAAUGAUUUGGGCACUGUCUCAACAACACACCCGGUGAAAUUGAAAUACCAGUGAAGAUGCUGGUUACCCGCGCCAGGACAGAAAGACCCCAUGGAGCUUUACUCCAGCCUGAUACUGGGAUUCGGUAUUGCAUGUACAGGAUAGGUGGGAGGCUGAGAACUCAUGGCGCCAGCCGUGAGGGAGCCGGUGUUGGGAUACCACCCCUGCAGUACUGGGUUUCUAACCUGCGCCCGUGACCCGGGCGGGGGACAAUGUCAGGCGGGGAGUUUGACUGGGGCGGUUGCCUCCGAAAGGGUAUCGGAGGCGCUCAAAGGUCUCCUCAGGAUGGUUGGAAACCAUCCAGAGAGUGCAAAGGCAGAAGGAGGCUUGACUGCGACACCGACGGGUGGAGCAGGUACGAAAGUAGGACUUAGUGAUCCGGUGGCAUAAAGUGGGAUUGCCAUCGCUCAACGGAUAAAAGCUACCCUGGGAUAACAGGCUUAUCACUCCCAAGAGUUCACAUCGACGGAGUGGUUUGGCACCUCGAUGUCGGCUCAUCGCAUCCUGGAGCUGGAGCAGGUUCCAAGGGUUGGGCUGUUCGCCCAUUAAAGCGGUACGCGAGCUGGGUUCAGAACGUCGUGAGACAGUUCGGUCCCUAUCCGGCGCGGGCGCAGGAUAUCUGAGAGGAGCUGUCCUUAGUACGAGAGGACCGGGAUGGACCGUCCGCUGGUGGACCGGUAGUCAUGCCAAUGGCACGGCCGGGUAGCCAAGACGGGAAGGGAUAAACGCUGAAGGCAUCUAAGCGUGAAGCCCCCCUCAAGAUGAGAUAUCCAUACUCGAAAGAGUGAGAGACCCCUUAGAGACGAUGAGGUAGAUAGGGCAGAGAUGGAAGUGCAGCGAUGCAUGGAGUUGACUGUUACUAAUCGGUCGAAAGCUCG
rnacentral:rRNA from 1 species